CGAUGUACACUGGGCGUGUGCGCAAGAGCGUGCGUGCCGAAGCAAACGCGAUAAGUGUACCGCCUGGGGAGUAUGCCCGCAAGGGUGAAACUCAAAGGAAUUGACGGGGGCCCGCACAAGCGGUGGAGCAUGUGGUUUAAUUCGAUGGUACGCGAGGAACCUUACCUGGGUUUGACAUCAAGAGCGAUCAUAUAGAGAUAUGUGAGCGUAGCAAUACGGCUCUUGACAGGUGCUGCAUGGCUGUCGUCAG
rnacentral:rRNA from 1 species